UAGAGUGGCGUUCGCUGACUGCACGCGUAACCAAAGAUAUAGCUAGGCGGUUGCCGACGCUAGAUGAGUGACUUUUAAUGCAUGUGCAUGCCGCUUGCAGCCUUCUUCUGCGCAGUUUACCCCCUUAAAACAAUUACUGAAGCGAGACAGCGCUCGCGUUACGGCGACGGAUCUAAAUGGGUGACUGCUAGCAGCAUGUAACUCUUCAUGGAGGACGCGGAGGUGACUGGAAUUUUAUCAUUUGACGUGAUCCCCUACGGGCUGCUGGACUACAGACAUUGAGGCUCUGGUAACUUGGGUUAUACUGUGGGAUUUAAAAGGGUCUAUGUUUCUUUGUUGAUUGUUUCUUUGUACCUGUAGUAUUGGAACGCUUCCUUUUGGUAUUGCUGUGCUGCGAGGGCAUUAAGCAUUCCUGCAAAGGACCAGAGUAGCUGCUGUUUUAGGCUUAUUUGAUAGGCUUUUGGUUUUCUUUUUAGUGCCCUGGUUGUUGCUAUGGGCUAAGUUGUAACUAAUUUUAGUAUUGUAUUUUGGGCGGUGGACAUCGGCCGCUACCCUCCCCUUAUGUUUGUACAUGGGAUCUUUCUGUAUAAGGUCGGAUCCGCACAGGCUUUUGCUCUCUACUGUUGGGGUGCCACACUGAGCGGACACUGUACUGUUGUGUGUAGUGUUUGUCGUGUUGCAUGCUGUGGUUUUGCUCUUUUCUUUGUCACCAGGGGCCUCCUGAGCUGAGAGCUGCGCGUGCCGAUCUGACCUUACUAUCUGGAGGAUAGUCAGCCGCCCCCCAACCCUACCCCCCCAGCAACCUUCUUUGUCUAAUAGUUUUUAGAUAUUUGUAAUAAAGUGGAUUGGGUUUUAUUUUUA